rnacentral:lncRNA from 1 species
ACAAGCCGGCAGCACGGCGACGGCGGCGAUGCUGCAUCCCGAGAGAGAGAGAGAGAGAGAGAGAGAGAGAGAGAGUGAAAGAUAUUGAAAGAGGGAGUGAGCGAAAGAAGUGUAGCUAGCCGUUCCUUGCCGGCCGAGGGAUCGCCGGCAACGGGGCAGGCCGGCGCGGCUGCUGAGUGAGGGAGAGGAGGGGGGCUAAUCAAUUUAGGGUUAGGGUUU